rnacentral:rRNA from 1 species
CCUACGGGAGGCAGCAGUGGGGAAUUUUGGACAAUGGGGGCAACCCUGAUCCAGCCAUGCCGCGUGAGUGAAGAAGGCCUUCGGGUUGUAAAGCUCUUUCAGCCGGGAAGAAAAUGCAUAGGUUAAUACCCUGUGCAGAUGACGGUACCGAA